rnacentral:lncRNA from 1 species
CCCUCGUCUGCUGAGAUGGGGAAAUGUUCCAGCUUCUAGAAAGACAUCAGGACAAAGAUAUGUAAUAAAAAUAAGUCCAGGCUGGCUGUCCUUGUGGGCAUCAGCUGCUGGCAUCUGCAUUGCUGCUGCCAUGAGCAUGGCAAAGCAGGUGAAAGAUUGCUUUUCCUUGACUGACACUGGUUCUGUUGACUUGAAAGCUAGAGGGAUGCAAUAGAAAGAGCUGCAACCUCUGCCAGACAUGGCAAAGAAAAAGAGGAGAGUGUGCCCUAAUCUUGGACCCCUCCUGCCCUCUUCUGCUGAGAUGGAGAAAUGUUCCAGCUUCUAGAAGGACAUCAGGACAAAGAUAUGUAAUGAAAAUAAGUCCAGGCUGGGUGUCCUUGUGGGCAUCAGCUGCUGGCAUCUGCAUUGCUGCUUCCAUGAGUAUGGCACAGCAGGUAA